CCUUGAAUGAUUAUCAGCAGAGUACAUUCAGUGGAGCAUAAAGCAGUACAGAUCAUGGAUUAAGUAAACCAUAAACAAUUUUACAUUUUAUUUUAUACAUCGCGCUGUUUAAUACCAUCGAAAAUGUUAUUUAAUCUUUAUGAUAUGUACGCUGAAGGUUCAAUAUUCUGCGCAGCCUUUAGAGCCUGAACUUUUAUACUUUAGGUACUAAUAACGAAUAAUCCUGUCCCUUAUUUGACUAACUCCUUGGCACAGUUUGUAGUUGCCCUGCUUUCUACUCUGAGGGUUAUGAGUUUUUAUUAUAUGCGUUAUUUCUAUGUAUAUUUAUCAAAAUAAAACUAGCUACAUCAGUCGACUGUUAUCUAUAACACAAGCAUUAAGUUCCUUGCCGUAGAAA
rnacentral:misc_RNA from 1 species